GAAAUGCGAUACGCAAUGCGAAUUGCAGAAUUCCGCGAGUCAUCAGAUCUUUGAACGCAGCCGGCGCUGGUGGGAUAUCCCACCAGCAUGUUUGUUUCAGUGUGUUUGGUUGACUUCACACAACUCAAUGCGAUUGAUGCCUUUUUAAUUAGAGGUCUCUCUCGUGAAAGAGGAGUACUUGCGGCUGAGCCCGCCAAUGAAGUGGUCACUGUUCACCAGUGAUUUCAUUGGAAUCACAGGUUCAGCCUUUAACAUGCAAGUUCUUUUAAUAAAAUUUCUUCAAUCAGCACCUGAAAUCAAGCAAGAUCACCCGCUGAACUUAA
rnacentral:misc_RNA from 1 species